rnacentral:rRNA from 1 species
UACGAAGGGGGCAAGCGUUGUUCGGAAUUACUGGGCGUAAAGGGCGCGUAGGCGGCCUGUUGCGUCGGGUGUGAAAGCCCCGGGCUCAACCUGGGAGGUGCACUCGAUACGGGCGGGCUGGAGUCCGGGAGAGGAUGGUGGAAUUCCCAGUGUAGAGGUGAAAUUCGUAGAUAUUGGGAAGAACACCGGUGGCGAAGGCGGCCAUCUGGCCCGGAAUUGACGCUGAGGCGCGAAAGCGUGGGGAGCAAACAGG